AUCUGGGAGGACUUAGGGAAACCUGACUUCCUCAGACUGCUUCCUUCUUAUAAACUCUUGGUUCCUUAUUUAUCGUUUUUUUGUUUUUGAUUUUUAAGUUGUCUGACCUGAUUUUAUCAUAGUAGUUCCAAAUGCCUUACAGCCCAGUGGAGUCAAGCUAAGGAAGGACAGCAUGAUUUCCACAGGAUUUGUAUUUCUUCCCUCUGGAUAAAGUGAUAGUAGAUCCCAGACUCACUGCCAGCAGGAUCCAAGGUGGUCUUUCCUCCAGUAUUUAAUCUGGUGUCAUCAGGAACCUACACUCAGGUUUUAUUGGAGAGCAAGCCUCAAUAAGAAGUGUGCUUUGAGGAGAAUCAAGGACUUAAUCUAGGCAUAAAAGGUGUUGCUCAGCACAAUACCCUCUACGAGACUGUGUGUAUAUCGCGAGUCGGAGGCCAAACACACCGUAUUUCAUCUGUAGCAUUCAAGACUUCAAACUGGUCCACAACUCCCAAGCCUGUUGCAGAUCUCCAACUCCUGCUUUGUGUGACCCCCGCAGCAUGCUCUCUGCCGGUGGCAUCACAGUCACCACAGCAUCUUUCUGAAGCUAGGAGAGGGCCUGUAGGGGUAAGGAGAAUCCCGUUUUUAAAAGCUAUCAGUAUUUUAUAUCCCAUAGGGUAUAAAAUAGGAAUAUUAUGUCCCUCCCCAGAGCCCCUUUUUAAAAUGUGCUGUAUUAUAUGUGUUUUUAAAGGAGUAACAAGUACAUGCACAGAGGAAGCAAAAUACGGGACUUGCCUUACCCCUCUAGGACAGUUCCAGAAGUUAGCGGGGUUUGGUGGAAGGGUAUUUUGGCACCAGCAGAGAGCAUGCUGGGCUGCUGCAAGGAGCAGGAGCUGGCAAUCAACAGCGAGUUUGGAUGUUGGCAACUGAAAUGGGGAGAAAAGGGGGUAAGUUUGAGUUCAAGUGUGGAAUGUGAAUUUCCCCAGGCUCAUUGGGACUCAUGACCCACAAAUCUAAACUAUUUUGGGUGUUGUCCUCUCGGGUGACAUUUUGUAGGGUGUUGCUCAGAAAUAGCGAGGCUUUUCUCCAGUGCUAGAUGCAGAAUACGCACUUCAAGAGGCUUGGGUCGGGCUGUAGCUAUACUUCUUAAGAGCUAUCCCUUGGUUAUUCCUCUGUUACUAGUGGUGGUCCUGAGGGAUGUGUAAGAGGCAGCAGGAUGAAGUAUCUGUAGUGCUUUAUCCCUUAAAGCACAGGAACCCAUGUGGGUGAUCAUAGGGGUUAUUAUUGUGUAGUGCAUCUCCCUUUUUAGGAAAGUUCACACUUGUCUUCCUUUUUUUUCCUGUAAUCGUAGGACUUAAUGGAGGACUUAAUGGUAAUGUUUUCUGAAAGUCGAGUAUUUAUUAUUCCGAAUGACUACUGGGUUAACAUGAAAGAAGUGUAGUUUUAGUUAAGCAUUGAAGUCAGUGUGAAGAAGUGACUGUGGCUCCCCAGUUCAUACUGAAUUAGCAAAUAAUACAAGAGGAUAGCAAGCUCUCUCACACUUAGACACACACAAUGCAGCAUACUGUCAAUAUACAGUGAAUUGUUCAGUUGCAGUGCAGAAUAUUAAUAUCUUGGGGUGAAGAAAAGAAAGUGCUCCAGAUGGGAUGUGGCACUUGGGGAAGUUCUGUGAAGGUGGGUAGGUUUUGAGGAGCUGGGUAUGUUUUUCACACAUCAAUAAGAAGUGGAUAGGCAGAGUAUAGGAGCCUUGCAGGUGUACCUGGCAGCCUGUCCUUAUAAGCAACACAGGCAGUGAGGCUGACGAGUCUGGGAGUUGUGAGAAGAUGACCCGCAGGACGUCACUGAAGAGCAUGGGUUAGUGGAUUUUGGGAGGCAGAUGUGGAGAUAUAAAAUGGGGCUAGAUUAUAGAGAAUCUUCAAAGUUAGCAAAGUUAAGAUUUUGUGUAAUAGGCAGUAGAGAGCUUGUGUAAGCUUUUUUAUUCGAGAUGAGCCAUCUUGCAGACCACUGCUUAAGAAGACUGACUGUGGCAGUUUGCAGUGUGGAAGGGGGAAAGAUGGUGAAAGCUCCAAGUAGGAGGCUAGGGCUGCCAUUCGUGGGUAAGAUGAAGAGGACCAAGACAGUAGAGAUGAUAUAUAGAUAAUUGUAACCAAAUCAGGAGUAAUUGUUGGAACAGCAUAACACAUUUACAUAUUUGCUGAUGUAAUUACUCAAGGGUCAUAUCAUAAAAAGGGGUGGGGGUUUCACAUUAUGGAAACCUUGGAAUUCUCUGUCUUACGGUGGAAGACAGAACCCAGUGUAGUGUAGACAAAAGUCUAAUUUUAAUUCCCAGAGAAAGACUGAUAUCUUAUGGGACAAAUUAGUAUAUUCCCAUUCCUAAUAAUGGUGUACCUAGCUGGUGGGUAAUUGCAGGCUUUCAACCUCCAGUUCAUCUUCAUGAGAUCAAUGUUGAUUCAGAACAAUAAGUGUCAGGUCUAUGACACCUUUAAAGUUAUGCUUAAAUGUGAGUCUGUGACCACUAAUGAAUGACUACAGUUGUUUCAUGACUUGCUAAACAUACCUGGUUUUUCACAAGCAAUAGAUUUUUGAAGGAGAGGUAUUCACAGUGGGUGCUAGGAAGAUACACACAUUAAUUCUGUAGAAUUUAGCUAAAAUGUGUUCAGCCUAAGGGAUGACAUUAACAGAGACUUGUGAUCCUGCUUUGCAUCUCAUGAGUGCUGAGCAGUUGGUAGAGAUGGAUGGUAUUUUCCAUAUAUCAGCAUCUGCUGUAUGCUCAGGCUUUGCUCCUGUUAAGGGAACUAGGGCUCUCUAGCCUUUUCAGAGAUUCUGUGAGAUUAUGUACUUUAUUAUUAUUAUUUUGUCUAAUCUAAUCAGACUAGAUUCUUGUAUUUCGAACUAAGAACUCAGAAUAUAUCCAUGACCUUUGGUUAAAAAGCUUAAAGGGAAAGUAAACUUCAUUUAUUCGUUGAACAAUUUAUUUAGUAUUUCUUAUUUAUUAGUGUUCUGUCUCCUGAAUAAAUAACUCAUUUUAAGUGUUUAUUGAGCACCAAUUGCACAUAAACUAUUGUAUUAGUUUUGUGGGAGAAAAAAAUAAAUAAACUAAAUAUCCCUCCCUCAAGGAAUGUUUGUAAAGUUGAUUAACUAUGCUAGAAAAUAGAAAGUGAAUGGUGCUAUGAGAUACAGAGGUAUAGUAGUAGUAUGAAGGUUGAAUGGAGAAAGAGAUUAAAUACAGCAGAAGACAAUUAUUUCUAUCAGAGAAGAGAUGACAUAGGAGAUGAAGAAGAAAGAUUUAAAAUGAUUUUUACAGAAAGAUGAAGAGAUACAUAACUCUUGAGUAGAGAAGGCAAGAAGAAGAGAAACUGUAUGGACAGUAUGAGCUAAAUGUGAAAACAGAAUUUUUUUUGGCUGGGUGCGGUGGCUCAUGCCUGUAAUCCUAGCACUUUGGGAGGCCGAGGCAGGUGGAUCACCUGAGGUCAGGAGUUUGAGAAAAGCAUGGCCAAAAUGGGGAAACCCCAUCUCUACUACAAAUAGAAAAAUUAGCCGGGUGUGGUGGCACAUGCCUGUAAUCCCAACUACUCGGGAGGCUGAGGCAGGAGAGUUGCUUGAACCUGGGAGGUGGAGGUUGUGGUGAGCCGAGAUUGUACCAGUGCACUCCAGCCUGCACCAUGGGAUCGAAACUCCAUUUAAAAAAAAAAAUCUGUGCACAAAGAAAUGGGCAAUGCAUUGACUCGGUGCAAAAUAUCAUAGAUGAGGUAGUGAACAUGUUUAGGAAUAUAUUCACAUUUUCAAGAAGACAGCUAGUUUCCCUAUUGAAAUCCCUGGCAUACAGGAGCAAACAGCAUGAAAUAAAGAAAAGUUCUAUGUUUUUAGAAAUAGGUAUCCAACUAAUACACAUAAAAAUUGUCUUUAUGGAGUAAAAUGCAUAUUUAAUCAAUCUAAUCAAACACAACCUCAGCUAAAUUCUUCUCUAAGAUAUAGACACACCUGCUAAGCAAAAGGGAUAAGAUAUCUUGUCUCUAGGAAACAACAGAAGUUAAUUAGCUUCAAAAAUACUUUAUAUUUGCAAUUAAAAAUAAUUUUAAAUCCACAGUAGCUAUGGUUCUCAUUAGAACAUAGAAUAUUGUGAUGCCUUGGACUAUUUUAUUAAAAAUGGCUAUAUUUGGUCCUUAUCUCAAACUUUGUGUUCAGGUAUAUAGCUGAUUAAUAAUGUAGUUUAUUAAGAAAUAUUUUUUGCAUAUUACUGUGAAAUCAUAGUGUAUGAAAUGGACUAAUAAAGCCUAUAAUGACCAGGAAAAUAUUACUUACUGCAAAGAUAAUAUAAAGUUCAGUUCUUUUAUCUAUAGUUUUAUUGUUAAGUUACAUAUAUAGAUAAAUGAUAGACAGACAUCAACACACACAUGACUGUUUACAAAUUACGGAGGUUACAAAUCUAAAACACGUGAUUUUUAUCUCAAAAUAAUAAAGAUUAAAAUGUUAGCAAUGUUCAUCCAUUGGUCAAAACUUUGCAUUCUUGUCUUGGAUUCUUGCUUAUAUUCAUCAAUUUUAAUCUGGAUCUAAACACUUAAAUAAAUGAAAAUAACAUAUUAAAUAAAUUUGUUUAUGCACUGCACUUCAUUUCUAACGAUUUCUCAUGAGAUAGUGGAAUGCAUGAUGACAUAUAAUUUAUGAUAUUGUUCUAGUGUUUCCAUGCCCAAAUUAAAGUCAAUAAAAUUUUAUAAUAGAAAUACCCAAAAUGAAGAAUGAUGAUGAAUUGAGCACUGAUAUUAAAAAGAUUAAAAAUGGUGCAACUUUUUAUAAGCAAAUUAGAUCUAUGUUUUAAGAACUUUAUAUGAAGUCUUACAUGUAUCUGCAUUAUACUCAGAGGUAUAAAUAAAUCGUUAACUUCUUUAUUAUGUCUUCAAGUUACCUGAUGUUCCUCCUGAGCAUCUCGAACCUCAAGAUAGGGAAAAAUUGUAUUCAAUAAAUCAAGUAAAUACAUAACAAUGACUGUGUAUUAACAAAAAAUUAAAAAUAAAAAAGAAAUCAAGUUGUCUUAGUUCAAUGCAAUAACAAAAAUAGUCACUUAAGCACAACACUCAAAUGCUGAGUUUUCU